AUCUACAGGUCGAGCAAGUCUCGUAAAUUUCACGAUUGCGAGCCACGCUUCACGCAACCGUGUUUGCGUACUUGUGUUUCGAGUUGCGUGGUCGUGCGGAGUUAUAUUUACCAAAUUUAAAUCCGUUCCAACAUGCUGUCAAAAUUAAAUCAAUAUGUCAAUAUGGCUACUGGGUGUAAAAGAUAAAUCUUAUUCUAUCUGUUCUUAAUGAGUUUUAGAUAAUUUUAGUUGUAUUUCUUUGUAAUUUUGUGUUGUACAAAGAUUAAUUUAACAUUUUCUCUGGAAGUAUUAAUUUAGAAAGAUAAUAUGCUUCAUUGGUGUUGUGUUUUGAAGUGUGAAAUGCAAAGUAAUUGUGAUAAAGUCAAGAUAAAGUUCACUUUUAAACUGAACUAAAUAAGGUAUCUGAGAGACAACAAUGGUUAAAUGCAAUACAAUGUACAGGUUUUACUAGCGAAAUGAAAAUUUUCCUGUCCUGUCUGCUGUAAUCAUUUUAUAUCUGGAAAACCAGCCGACUUAAUCGAUAAUAACAAUCUCCAGAUUGGGUUCCUUCAAUAAAUAUGGGCUAUAAACACAAUGAAAUUAGUUCCCCAAAAUCUAAAAUGGAGUGGUAUCAAAGGAGAAUUAAAGGAAAAAAUAUUCAUAUUGAAAUUAUUUAUAAGGCACUGGACUGUCUUAAAUUCUACAAUAAUACUAGAAUCAGCUGAGAGAAGUGGUCUACAAAAAACCAGGAAGGAAACGGAAUAUGUGGCUACGAAAGGCAAAAGAAAGGUUUACAAAGCAAAUGUGACACAUUUUUUUGAAAUAUUUAGGAAUAUCAGUAAAUUGCAUUAAAAAAAUGUAUGAAAAGAUUUUGUUCAAUAAAAAUGUUUAUAUUUA